rnacentral:rRNA from 1 species
UACGUAGGGUGCAAGCGUUAAUCGGAAUUACUGGGCGUAAAGCGUGCGCAGGCGGUUUUGUAAGACCGAUGUGAAAUCCCCGGGCUUAACCUGGGAACUGCAUUGGUGACUGCAAGGCUUGAGUGUGUCAGAGGGAGGUGGAAUUCCGCGUGUAGCAGUGAAAUGCGCAGAUAUCAGGAGGAACACCGAUGGCGAAGGCAGCUCACUGGGACGGUACUGACGCUGAGGCGCGAAAGCGUGGGGAGCAAACGGG